GGCCGGUUGGCGCAAUGGUAGCGCGUUGCUUUCCGGCUCUGUCUGGCAAAGGUUGCGGGUUCGAGUCCCGUGCUGGUCG
rfam:Microdochium bolleyi strain J235TASD1 unplaced genomic scaffold Micbo1qcscaffold_5, whole genome shotgun sequence.